GAUGAAGAACGUAGCGAAAUGCGAUAAGUAAUGUGAAUUGCAGAAUUCAGUGAAUCAUCGAAUCUUUGAACGCACAUUGCGCCCCUUGGUAUUCCGAGGGGCAUGCUUGUUCGAGCGUCAUUUUGACCACUCCCGCUUGCGGGGUCUUGGGCCUUCGCCUCUGGGCGGGCCUUAAAAUCAGUGGCGGUGCCGUCCGGCUCUAAGCGUAGUAAAUCUCCUCGCUAUAGGGUUCCGGAGGGAUGCUGGCCAACAACCCCCAACUUUUAAGGUUGACCUCGGAUCAGGUAGGGAUACCCGCUGAACUUAAGCAUAUCAAUAAGCGGAGGA
rnacentral:misc_RNA from 1 species